GGCCACAGAAAUGGGUGUUCCUCUCCUCCACUGCAGGACUCUUCCUGCUCCGUUGGUGACCAGCCUUCCCCACACCCCACAUCCUGAAGCUCCCGGACUGCCUGCAAGUGCAGCAGCAGGCGGCAGUGCUUGCAUGGCUGGCACCAGGAACAGCUACAGCUCUGAUUCAUAUGCAUGGAGACAUCAUAUUAUUUGGACACAUUCUGCCUGGCCACCAGUCCAAGUAACCACAGGGCUCAGGACCCUUAGAGGCCCUUUCUUUCUCUCCCCCACAGCCAGCAGCAUCUUGGCUUCCUGUACUGUCUGCACUAACAGGCCUCUCCUGCCAUCUCCCACACUCUAACUCAAGCAUUGAGCCUCUGCCCCACAUGAGGAGCUAUCUAUCACCCUAUACUGACUUCGUGUUCCCAGCUCACCUCUUGCUGAGACUAUUUAUUGUCUGCCACCCUCCUUGAGAGUGCCCCGUAUCCCCCAUGAGGGGAGCCAUAGCAACAUACUUGUGUUGUGAGGUGGUGUGUCAUCUAGAGCAAUAGCUCUACCCUCCAUAUCCACAGAGACAUAUAGAGACUGGACCCAGAACCAACAGCCAUUGUCAUUCCUCCGUCUCCGUCUUCUUUCCUGCCUUCUUCAGUUAGCUGCUGUUGGCAGAGUCCGUAAUAUGUUUAAUGGAC
rnacentral:lncRNA from 1 species